ACGUCUUGGAUCCGUACGUGGUCGUUACUCAUCCAUGUGGACUCCAGGGAGCUUAUGGAUAUUGGGUGCAACCGAUGGGAGAUGGUCGCACGGGCUAUCUUCAGCCGAUUUUGGAUGACGUGCUAAUAAUAGACUAGGUGUAUAGGCAUCGUAGUCUGCUUUUAGUUACGCUGGAUAUGGUAGUUUGCUUUUCAUUUCAUCUUUGUUUUCAUUUUUGAGUUUCAAAGACUUGUGGAUCUAAGACUUUGUUUUGAACCUAUUUUAAUAAGAUGGUUGCAUGCAUAGAUUGAUGCAGAG
rnacentral:lncRNA from 1 species